rnacentral:rRNA from 1 species
AAAGGAAUUGACGGGGACCCGCACAAGCGGUGGAUGAUGUGGAUUAAUUCGAUGCAACGCGACAAACCUUACCUACCCUUGACAUGUCCGSAAUCCUGCAGAGAUGSGGGAGUKCUCGAAAGAGAACCGGAACACAGGUGCUGCAUGGCYGUCGUCAGYUCGUGUCGUGAGAUGUUGGGUUAAGUCCCGCAACGAGCGCAACCCUUAUCAUUAGUUGCUACGCAAGGGCACUCUAAUGAGACUGCCGGUGACAAACCGGAGGAAGGUGGGGAUGACGUCAAGUCCUCAUGGCCCUUAUGGGUAGGGCUUCACACGUCAUACAAUGGUCGGUACAGAGGGUUGCCAAGCCGCGAGGUGGAGCCAAUCCCAGAAAGCCGAUCGUAGUCCGGAUUGUUCUCUGCAACUCGAGAGCAUGAAGUCGGAAUCGCUAGUAAUCGCGGAUCAGCAUGUCGCGGUGAAUACGUUCCCGGGUCUUGUACACACCGCCCGUCACACCAUGGGAGUGGAAUCYGSCAGAAGUAGGUAGCCUAACCGCAAGGAGGGCGCUUACCACGSUGGGUUUCAUGACUGGGGUGAAGUCGUAACAAGGUAACCG